GGCCAGUUAGCUCAGUUGGUUACAGCAUUGUGUUGAUAACACCAAGGUCAUGGGUCGAUCCCCAUUCAGUCCC
rnacentral:tRNA from 1 species